rnacentral:rRNA from 1 species
ACCCGCUGAACUUAAGCAUAUCAAUAAGCGGAGGAAAAGAAACCAACAGGGAUUGCCCUAGUAACGGCGAGUGAAGCGGCAACAGCUCAAAUUUGAAAUCUGGCGUCUUUGGCGUCCGAGUUGUAAUUUGCAGAGGGCGCUUUGGCAUUGGCAGCGGUCCAAGUUCCUUGGAACAGGACGUCACAGAGGGUGAGAAUCCCGUACGUGGUCGCUAGCCUUUACCGUGUAAAGCCCCUUCGACGAGUCGAGUUGUUUGGGAAUGCAGCUCUAAAUGGGAGGUAAAUUUCUUCUAAAGCUAAAUACUGGCCAGAGACCGAUAGCGCACAAGUAGAGUGAUCGAAAGAUGAAAAGCACUUUGGAAAGAGAGUUAAAAAGCACGUGAAAUUGUUGAAAGGGAAGCGCUUGCAGCCAGACUUGCCUGUAGUUGCUCAUCCGGGUUUUUACCCGGUGCACUCUUCUAUAGGCAGGCCAGCAUCAGUUUGGGCGGUUGGAUAAAGGUCUCUGUCAUGUACCUCUCUUCGGGGAGAACCUAUAGGGGAGACGACAUGCAACCAGCCCGGACUGAGGUCCGCGCAUCUGCUAGGAUGCUGGCGUAAUGGCUGU